rnacentral:lncRNA from 1 species
CUUUACAGAGCAAGGGGAUUCAAACAAAGCAGCCAAAAAGUUCAGUGAGUACCUGAAAAUAAGAAGAACAUGCUACGGAAAAACAGAAUGGGUGGACAUGAAGUGGAAGGGAGGAGUUCUGACCCAUCCAGUUCAGCAAGAUGGUAGUAGCUGUGGUGUUAUUGUCAUCAAGAUGGCAAGGGCAGUGAUGGAGGCCUUUCCAGCUGUUCCAGAAAUUUACUUCGACACAUCCAAAACCGAAAUGGCCAAAGAGAGAAAGACAAUGGCUCUACAAAUCUUACAGGAAUCAGGGUUUGAUUCAGAAAAUAACUGUUCCAUGUGUUCCAUGGCAAAACCCCCUGGAUCUGGGCCACCAAUGACAAACUGGAUCCAGUGUGACACGUGUUUUCGUUGGUUCCAUGAGCUCUGCCUAAAUAUGGACACCGAGAAACUCAUUCAAGCCAGGGCAAGCAUUUGGAACUGCUGCUUAUGUGUAGUGUAAAAAACUCCAGUCCAAAUAUGGAUAUGUACAUAUGUAUGUAUGCAUUUAUUUUUUGUAUGUAUGUAUAUAUAAUUUGUAUGUAUACUUUCUGUAAAUAUUUGUAAGUAUUAUGUACAUAUGUUAUACAUUUGACAUUUAUUAUUGAUAAAAAAAUUAUAACACUAUCUAACUUUAUUGCAUGAAUCUUUUCUAAUGUUUACGUCAGAUCCCUAAGAGAAGCAUUCUGGAAUAGCUGUAGAGCAUAAUAGAGCUCUUUGGGAGCUCUUUCUCUGCACAAAAACAAUAUAGAAAAUAUUUAGAACUUGGGGCUGCUGUUUUGCUAGCAUCUCGCAUGUAAUUUUAGCUCGCUUAAAACAUUGUCUGGCCUUCAAAUGCAUGUGGUUUGUUCAUUCUGUAUACAGUAUCAUUUUUUGUGUCUCACUUUAAAGAAAAAGAAAAUCAGUUUUUUACAUAGUUUAAUAAACUUGUUACAACAUCCA